GACGAACGCUGGCGGCGUGCCUAAUACAUGCAAGUAGAACGCUGAAGGAGGAGCUUGCUCUUCUGGAUGAGUUGCGAACGGGUGAGUAACGCGUAGGUAACCUGCCUGGUAGCGGGGGAUAACUAUUGGAAACGAUAGCUAAUACCGCAUAAGAGUAGAUGUUGCAUGACAUUUGCUUAAAAGGUGCAAUUGCAUCACUACCAGAUGGACCUGCGUUGUAUUAGCUAGUUGGUGGGGUAACGGCUCACCAAGGCGACGAUACAUAGCCGACCUGGGAGGGUGAUCGGCCACACUGGGACUGAGACACGGCCCAGACUCCUACGGGAGGCAGCAGUAGGGAAUCUGCGGUAAUGGACGGAAGUCUGACCGAGCAACGCCGCGUGAGUGAAGAAGGUUUUCGGAUCGUAAAGCUCUGUUGUAAGAGAAGAACGAGUGUGAGAGUGGAAAGUUCACACUGUGACGGUAUCUUACCAGAAAGGGACGGCUAACUACG
rnacentral:rRNA from 1 species